CAGCCGCCACGGUAAUACAGAGGGUGCGAGCGUUAAUCGGAUUUACUGGGCGUAAAGCGUGCGUAGGCGGCUUCUUAAGUCGGAUGUGAAAUCCCUGAGCUUAACUUAGGAAUUGCAUUCGAUACUGGGAAGCUAGAGUAUGGGAGAGGAUGGUAGAAUUCCAGGUGUAGCGGUGAAAUGCGUAGAGAUCUGGAGGAAUACCGAUGGCGAAGGCAGCCAUCUGGCCUAAUACUGACGCUGAGGUACGAAAGCAUGGGGAGCAAACAGGAUUAGAUACCCCCGUAGUCCCUGUCUCUUCUAC
rnacentral:rRNA from 1 species